rnacentral:ncRNA from 20 species
GCCCCGGUAGCUCAGCCUGGUCGGAGCGCCCGCCUCGUAAGCGGGAGGUCCCGUCAAGCUUAGCCCGGUCCAGCUGGGCUGAGCUUGGGAUAAGGUUCAAAUCCCGGCCGGGGCUCCA